rnacentral:rRNA from 1 species
UAGGGAAUCUUCCGCAAUGGGCGAAAGCCUGACGGAGCAACGCCGCGUGCGUGAUGAAGGUCUUCGGAUCGUAAAACUCUGUUAUUAGGGAAGAACAAAUGUGUAAGUAACUAUGCACGUCUUGACGGUACCUAAUCAGAAAGCCACGGCUAACUACGUGCCAGCAGCCGCGGUAAUACGUAGGUGGCAAGCGUUAUCCGGAAUUAUUGGGCGUAAAGCGCGCGUAGGCGGUUUUUUAAGUCUGAUGUGAAAGCCCACGGCUCAACCGUGGAGGGUCAUUGGAAACUGGAAAACUUGAGUGCAGAAGAGGAAAGUGGAAUUCCAUGUGUAGCGGUGAAAUGCGCAGAGAUAUGGAGGAACACCAGUGGCGAAGGCGACUUUCUGGUCAGUAACUGACGCUGAUGUGCGAAAGCGUGGGGAUCAAACAGG